GGCAGGGACUCGCUGCUCAUCCACCACCAGGACGAUGUCACAGAAGAGGCCUCGGUGCCUCUGCUCAUUCAGGCUCUGCAGAACUAGAUUGGAGUGGUCAUCCCACCGGUACACCUGGAAAACACAAACAGCAUCAUCAGGCAGGUCAGACCUCCAUCAGGCUAAAUUUCAGUCUGAAAUGUAUUUUCCCACUAAAUGGAGUCAUACAUGAGACAGAGAAAGCUUUUCUGUGCUGCACAUUGACAUUUAUAAAAAAUUCUGACUUGAAACAGUUGGCAAGCAACGGAGUACGAGCUGGAGCUCCUCACCUUCGCUUUGAAAGGCCUGUAGAGACUUUGACUGCUUCCUACUCCACUUUUUUUAUAAUAUUCUCCUCCCUCCCCCACAAUGCUGCAUUGAACCCCCCUCCCUGAUGAGUUAUACAGGCAUGAUUUUCUGAAACUCUUCCACUCAUUGUCUCUGAGACAUCUUGCUGACAUUUCCUUUCUUCCUUGUCCCUCAAAUGACUCCUUACAGAGUUCCCUCAGCUAAGCUACUCACUAAACAUUUGGAGUGGGAGAGACACAUGCAGCAGUACUCUGAAUUUUCAUUCUGCCCGUGUAUUGUUUGGGUUGGUGUGUGCUUGACAGCUACCCCCUCUUAAAUCUUUCCAGAACUCUGCAUUUCUAAGCUUGCUAGGAAAAAAAUCCCCCUCUUUCUUUCCAUAUUAUUCCAGGCACACGCACUGCACUCAGAAGCAAUAGCUGUUUAUUUAUGUGCAAAGCCACACAUGUGGAUAACUCAUUCCCACAAGAAUUCUGCUUGCUUCCAGAAGCUGAGGCUGAGAAAAGCUGGUAUUGUACAGGAGUCCAAGCAGAAACUGGAGGAUGGAGAAGCACAAAGUCCUUGCUCUGAAGCUCCUGUUAUCCAGAGCUUGCACUGCAACAGAAAAGCAGCUUGCACUGGUAUGAAACACAGUGAACACGGGAAUUACAGCUGAUAUUACCAUCUGAUAAAUCACCCUGAUGACCUGCAUAAAGAGCUGCCUAAGAUGGAUUUCCGAGAAUUCACAAAUAAAAACAAUGUAUGUGUGCAGACAGAUUUGAUACAAAGAAAACUGACAUCACAAGCCUAAGAAAUGACCACCAAUUCCAUGAGCUCACUGUUUGCAGAAUCAAGGCUCCCAUCACGUACAAAAUUGAGACUGAACCUAAGGAGCAAUCUCAGCUUUGCUUCUCUAACAAGCUUGGAUUUUACGAGAUGGAUCAGUACAAAAAUUACAAAAAUUCCCCAAAUAAACACAUCACAUUUAAUGACUGAAUUUUUGGUACAGAGAAACUACUGUGCUGCAAUGAUGUGGGUUUCUAAGCUAUGA